UGGCAUGGGGGUGGGGACCGUUUUGUUUAUUCAAAUGAAGCCCAGCAGGCUGAAUGGUACAUAAAAGGUAAAACUCUCAGAUCUUCUUAGUUUUAAUAACUAAACUAAAUGUUCAUAGAAGUCUAGAGUUCACACAAAAAGCUUUACUUGGGUCAGUUAAAAAAAAAAACUUUCAUGGAGAAAUCAAUCCCAUGUUUUCAUUGCCAGACUUAAUAUUUAAGCAAAACUGGUACUAGUCUGAGAUUGAUCACAAACCUUGUUGGGCAGAUUUGGCUCCAAAUUACAUUUGACAGUUUCAAAAAUAAAUAAAAAUGUAUCCUCAGGAAU
rnacentral:lncRNA from 1 species